UUGAUUCAGUUGUGGAUUGCAGAAGGGUUCAUUCAACCAUCGGAUAAUAAUAUGGAUUUAGAGGAUAUCGGCAAUCAGUUUUUCAAUAAUUUGCUAUGGAGGCCUUUUUUCAGGAUGCAAAGAUGGAUUCUGAUGGUAACGUGACCGUAUGCAAGAUGCAUGAUCUAGUCCAUGAUCUUGCUUGCUGUGUCAUAGGUGAUGAGGCCAUGAUCAUGGAGGUGGGCAAGGACACAAGCAUUUCUUGUCGAUGUCGCUAUUCAUCAGUUGUUUCUAAUGACAACAUAUCAUCAGAAUGUUUACAGGUUGCCUACAAAACAAAGAAAUCGAGAUCACUUGUAUUUUUGCAGCUUGACUUCAAUGAUGUAAUCAUCAAAGAAUCCAUCUUCUACAGAGUCUCAAAUCUCACUUAUUUGCGUGCAUUGGAUCUACAUAACACAGGGCUCAAAAAGUUAUCCAGCAGAAUAAGCAGGUUAAAGCAUCUAAGGUACCUAGACCUAUCCCAUACACUAAUUAAGCUUUACCUGACUCAAUUACUUCUCUCUUCAACUUGCAAGUGUUGAACCUUAGUUAUUGUUAUGAUCUUAAAGAGUUGCCCAAAGACAUGAGAAAAAUGAGAAAUCUCAGGCAUCUGUGCGUCGUUGGAUGUUUGGGUUUGAUUCCGAUGCAACCUAAAAUGGGCCAGUUGAGUAACUUCUGCCGGCUGUCAAUGUUUGCUGUGCGUCAGGGGGAUGGAAGUAGCAUGGUAGAACUGCAAAAUCUCAACCCGACCGGUAACUCUCUUGAAAUCAGUGAUCUUCAUGAAGUGAAGGAUCCAAAGGAAGCAAUGCAAGCAAAGUUGGAGGCCAAGACAAACCUGCAGUCCUGGACAUUGUCGUGGAACGGACAUUCGGAUUGGGCACGGACAUCAUCUUCUACAAAAAUGGCGGAGGAUGUGUUUGAAAGGCUCCAACCUCAUCCUAAUUUAAAGGAGUUGACAAUGGUCGGCUACAUGGGCAUCAGAUUACCCACUUGGAUGGCGAGGGCGGAACAAGUGUCAACUUUAUUUUCAAAUCUGGUCGAGCUCAGAUUGUGGGAUCUGAAGUGGUGCGAGCAUCUUCCACCGCUCAGCCAAUUCCCCUCUCUGAAGCGUCUCUUUGUAUCUGGAAUGCAUGCAUUGAGGAAAAUAGAAGAGGAUGGUGGCAACGUGUCCUCGUUAGAAGAGUUCAGAUUAAAAGACAUGCCUGAAUUGGAGGAAUGGCACGUAAAACCAACAACAGAAAUGUUCCCUCAUCUUAGGUUAUUGGACGUCCACUUCUGCCCCAAAUUAAUGGUGCAACCAUGCAUCCCAUGCUCAGUCGAGAAUCUUAUGAUAUCAAGAAAUCAGAUGCUGUUAUCGGAAGGAAGCAUUGGAGGGUCGUCCAAACUGAAAAUACUGUGCAUUUGGAGCUGUGGAAUAUCAUCCCAGUCUGGGUGGUGGGGUGGGCUGCGAUACCUCACUGCCCUUGAGGAUCUACAAAUUUCAUGCUGUUUCGCGCUGAAUUGUUUGCCAGAAGUUGUUAUGUACAUGUCCUCACUCCGCACCCUUUCUUUAAGGAAUAACAGAAAUCUAAAGAGUCUAGAAUGGGGAAGAAUGGAGCCUCUGUUCACUGCCCUCUGCAAUCUGGAGAUAGGGGGGUCCCCCAGAUUGACUGCUUUGCCGCGGUGGGUGGGGGGCCUCACCUCGCUCCAGUUUUUAUCACUUUGGUUUUGUGACAGCCUCGCAAUGCUGCCAGACCUCCCUGCACUUCGAGGUUUGCGCAUUGAGUACUGUCCCCUUCUGGCAAGGCGAUGUGAGAGGGGGAGAGGCGACGACUGGCCCAAGAUUGCUCACAUCCCAAAAAUCAGCAUCUUUGAGAGGGAGAGAGGCGAAGAUAGAGAACAAACCAGCAAAAGAUCUACCUUCGCUGCGAAAUUUGUCAGCAAGUUAUGUUAUGUUAGCAUGCUGCAUUGGUCGAAGUUAAGGUUCCAGUAGCAGCUCCAUUCCGUGGAAGUUCACUCUUUUGGAACGAUCUCAUUGAUCCCAGAAGCUAUCUUUGCAAAACCUAAUAAAUGCACCUCAGACAGGUGAUUGGUUGCUAUAGCUUUUGAGAAAUGUGGGAUGCUAUAUUUGAUAACAUUCAAAGUCUGGUUUUGCUUCAAAAUAACACUAAAAGCUGAUCGAGCAUCCCAACAGACUUGAACAAGUUUCGGCAGGUAUGCUUGAGAGCCUUGCAUAGCUAAAGAAUCUGUCAAAUAUGUAUAUUCCCCCUUUCCUUCUAAGAGACAAUGCAGAAAGGAGAAAUGCAACAUUCAACAUAAGGGAUUGCUUGCAAUUGGACAGACAGGAGAAUCGUCUAUGCUAUAUUCAACAUUGUCUCAGUAAAUACAUUUUUCUGAACCAUCUUGCCAAAGUGUUCUUGCAUAAUUGUUUAUGUUAGACCCAUGCAAAAUCAUUCUAAUGUCUCCCUGAUUCUUGGUCACAUUUUCUGUUAAAUUCUGACAUAGAAUCAACACUAUUGGUAUGAUUAGUGACUUAUUUUAAUACCAGCUUCUUCCUCCAAAAGGUUGUUGUGUCUACUUCAAAUGCUUGAAAUUGAUAUCGAAGAGAGGUAGACUACUGCUCGCAUCUCACACAUCUGCAUUGAAUGAAGAGCAGUAGAAGAGCUGCAUGAUAUGGUUCCUUUCACUAUCUUUCUUUCUUCUUUUUGUUAAAAUAAUGCUACAGUAAGGUGCUUAUUUUUCUUCACCAAAGAAUAUAUUAGAUUUCUCUUUUUAUGCCUUGG